AUGACUUAAACAUAACUAGGGAAAAUAAUGGUUCAGGGUAACAUCGGAGUCCUUGCUGCUCAUAUGAGAAUUUUCUGAGCCAGUAAAGGUGGCCCCUAAGUAGACCCACAUACAUUGCAGGAUGCCUAGCGUAUAGUAACAUGCCAG
ensembl:snRNA U12 U12 minor spliceosomal RNA